GACGAGGGAUCCUAGCGUUGUUCGGAAUCAUUGGGCGUAAAGCGGGUGCAGGUGGCUAUGUAAGUCAGGUGUGAAAGCCUAGGGCUCAACCCUAGAAGUGCAUUUGAUACUGCGUAGCUUGAGUGGUAGAGAGGAUAGUAGAAUUCUUGGUGUAGUGGUGAGAUACGUAGAUAUCAAGAGGAAUACCGGAGGCGAAGGCGGCUAUCUGGCUACACACUGACACUCAGACCCGAAAGUGCGGGGAUCAAACAGG
rnacentral:rRNA from 1 species